rnacentral:rRNA from 1 species
UAAGGAAUAUUGGACAAUGGGCGGAAGCCUGAUCCAGCCAUGCCGCGUGAAGGAUGAAGGCGCUCAGCGUUGUAAACUUCUUUUGGAUGGGGACAAUAACUUUCAUUUAUGGGAGCUUGAGGGUACCAUCAGAAUAAGCACCGGCUAACUCCGUGCCAGCAGCCGCGGUAAUACGGAGGGUGCAAGCGUUAUCCGGAAUCACUGGGUUUAAAGGGUGCGUAGGCGGUCAGAUAAGUCAGUCGUGAAAUUC